rnacentral:rRNA from 1 species
UACGUAGGGGGCGAGCGUUGUCCGGAGUUACUGGGCGUAAAGGGCAUGCAGGCGGUCGGACGCGUUUCGGGUGACAGCGGGUGGCUUAACUACCCGAGUGGUCGAAAGACGGUUUGACUUGAGGACGCGAGAGGGACACGGAAUUCCGGGUGGAGUGGGUGAAAAUGCGCAGAUAUCAGGAGGAACACCGGUGGCGAAGGCGGGUCUCUGGGCCGAUACUGACGCUGGAGGAGCGAAAGCCGUGGGGAGCGAACAGG